CUGAUAGAGGUGCGGGACUGAUCAGUAGCAAAGCCGUAAAGAUCUGCGGAGAUCGGCUGUGUGAAAGGCUAACCGCCGAAGAGUGCGCAUUCCGUGGUGUGCAUAUCUGGCUGUGCGUUGAACAGGCGUACGGUUGUCAUCGGUCUGAUGGAGAGCUAUCG
rnacentral:ncRNA from 1 species